ACUUGAAUUGAAGAGUUUGAUCAUGGCUCAGAUUGAACGCUGGCGGCAGGCUUAACACAUGCAAGUCGAACGGUAGCAGGAGAAAGCUUGCUUUCUUGCUGACGAGUGGCGGACGGGUGAGUAAUGCUUGGGAAUCUGGCUUAUGGAGGGGGAUAACGACGGGAAACUGUCGCUAAUACCGCGUAUUAUCGGAAGAUGAAAGUGCGGGACUGAGAGGCCGCAUGCCAUAGGAUGAGCCCAAGUGGGAUUAGGUAGUUGGUGGGGUAAAUGCCUACCAAGCCUGCGAUCUCUAGCUGGUCUGAGAGGAUGACCAGCCACACUGGAACUGAGACACGGUCCAGACUCCUACGGGAGGCAGCAGUGGGGAAUAUUGCGCAAUGGGGGGAACCCUGACGCAGCCAUGCCGCGU
rnacentral:rRNA from 1 species